rnacentral:rRNA from 1 species
AACGGCCGCGGUACCCUAACCGUGCAAAGGUAGCAUAAUCAUUUGUCUAUUAAUUGUAGACCGGUAUGAAAGGCAAAAUGAGGGCCUGACUGUCUCUUAUAAUACAUCAAUUAAACUGAUCUCCCAGUCCAAAAGCUGGAAUGCAAACAUAAGACCAGAAGACCCUGUGAAGCUUAAACUAAACUAUUAAAACCUAUAAUAACACCUUUCGGUUGGGGCGACCUUGGAAAAAAAAAGAACUUCCAAACACAUGACCUCUCAUCAUUCAACCAGGCUAACAAGCCAAAAUAUAAGACCCAGCACAGCUGAUAAUUGAACCAAGUUACUCCAGGGAUAACAGCGCUAUCUUCUUCAAGAGCCCAUAUCAAAAAGAAGGUUUACGACCUCGAUGUUGGAUCAGGACAUCCUAAUGGUGCAACCGCUAUUAAGGGUUCGUUUGUUCAACGAUUAA